CGGGUGCACUGAUCCACCCGGGCCUUUCCCUCUGUGGAACCCCAUGGCCUUCACUGGCUGUGGGGGGGAAACAGGACUUUUUCUUUUGAAAAUUAGAGUGCUCCAGACAGCCAUACGCUCGUACAUAUUAGCGUGGAAUAAUAGUAUAGGACGUGUGGUUAUAUUUUGUGGGUUUAUAGCACCGCUGUAAUGAUAUAUAGGCACAGUCGGGGGCAUCUGUACUCAAUUGUCAGAGGUAAAUUUCUUGGAUCUAUAGAAGACUAACUACUGAGAAAGCAUUUGCCAAGGAUGUUCUCAUUGAUAAGGAACGAAAGUUAGGGGAUCGAAGACGAUCAGACACUGUCGUUGUCUUAACUAUAAAAUACGCCGACUAGGGAUCGGACGAUGUUUUUCUUUGACGCGUUCGGCACCUUUCGAGAAAUCAAAGUGCUUGGGCUCCAGGGGGAGUAUGGUCGCAAGGGUGAAACUUAAAGAAAUUGAGGGAAGGGCCCCCCCAGGGGGGGCACCUGGGGUUUAAUUUGACUCCACAGGGGGAAACUCCCCAGGUCCAGACACAGUGAGGAUUGACAGAUUGAGAGCUCUUUCUUGAUUCUGUGGGUGGUGGUGCAUGGCCGUUCUUAGUUGGUGGAGUGAUUUGUCUGCUUAAUUGCGAUAACGAAGGCGACCUCAACCUGCUAAAUAGCCCGUACUGCUUUGGCAGUUCGCCGGCUUCUUAGAGGGACGAUUGG
rnacentral:rRNA from 1 species